AACAAGGCGUACCUGCGGACCUGCGGAGGGAUCAUUACUGAGUUUACAACUCCCAAACCCCUGUGAACAUACCACUUGUUGCCUCGGCGGAUCAGCCCGCUCCCGGUAAAACGGGACGGCCCGCCAGAGGACCCCUAAACUCUGUUUCUAUAUGUAACUUCUGAGUAAAACCAUAAAUAAAUCAAAACUUUUAACAAUGGAUCU
rnacentral:misc_RNA from 1 species